rnacentral:rRNA from 1 species
AUCUAGGCUCUUGCAUCGAUGAAGAACGUAGCGAAAUGCGAUACUUGGUGUGAAUUGCAGAAUCCCGUGAACCAUCGAGUCUUUGAACGCAAGUUGCGCCCGAUGCCAUUAGGUUGAGGGCACGUCUGCCUGGGUGUCACAUAUCGAAGCCUCCUGCCACUUUC